CCUCCCACGCCUCUCAUGGAUGCGCACCUUGGGAGGU
rnacentral:sRNA from 1 species